UCGUGUUGAAACACCGGUUAUUGUACGAUCACUGAAGUUAAGCAACGUAGAGCCUGCUCAUUACCUAGAUGGGUGACCGCUUGGGAAUAUCAAAUGCUGUAA